rnacentral:rRNA from 1 species
GAUGAACGCUGGCGGCGUGCCUAAUACAUGCAAGUCGAGCGAACAGACGAGGAGCUUGCUCCUCUGACGUUAGCGGCGGACGGGUGAGUAACACGUGGAUAACCUACCGAUAAGACUGGGAUAACUUCGGGAAACCGGAGCUAAUACCGGAUAAUAUAUUGAACCGCAUGGUUCAAUAGUGAAAGACGGUUUUGCUGUCACUUAUAGAUGGAUCCGCGCCGCAUUAGCUAGUUGGUAAGGUAACGGCUUACCAAGGCAACGAUGCGUAGCCGACCUGAGAGGGUGAUCGGCCACACUGGAACUGAGACACGGUCCAGACUCCUACGGGAGGCAGCAGUAGGGAAUCUUCCGCAAAGGGCGAAAGCCUGACGGAGCAACGCCGCGUGAGUGAUGAAGGUCUUCGGAUCGUAAAACUCUGUUAUUAGGGAAGAACAAAUGUGUAAGUAACUAUGCACGUCUUGACGGUACCUAAUCAGAAAGCCACGGCUAACUACGUG